AGAGUUUGAUCCUGGCUCAGAACGAACGCUGGCGGCAGGCUUAACACAUGCAAGUCGAACGCACCGCAAGGUGAGUGGCAGACGGGUGAGUAACGCGUGGGAACGUGCCCUUCAGUUCGGGAUAACCCAGGGAAACUUGGGCUAAUACCGGAUACGUGCGAGAGCAGAAAGAUUCAUCGCUGAAGGAUCGGCCCGCGUCUGAUUAGCUAGUUGGUAGGGUAAUGGCCUACCAAGGCGACGAUCAGUAGCUGGUCUGAGAGGAUGAUCAGCCACAUUGGGACUGAGACACGGCCCAAACUCCUACGGGAGGCAGCAGUGGGGAAUAUUGGACAAUGGGCGCAAGCCUGAUCCAGCCAUGCCGCGUGAGUGAUGAAGGCCUUAGGGUUGUAAAGCUCUUUCGUCCGGGACGAUAAUGACGGUACCGGAAGAAGAAGCCCCGGCUAACUUCGUGCCAGCAGCCGCGGUAAUACGAAGGGGGCUAGCGUUGUUCGGAAUCACUGGGCGUAAAGGGCGCGUAGGCGGCCUGAUAAGUCGGGGGUGAAAGCCUGUGGCUCAACCACAGAAUUGCCUUCGAUACUGUCGGGCUUGAGACCGGAAGAGGUAAGUGGAACUGCGAGUGUAGAGGUGAAAUUCGUAGAUAUUCGCAAGAACACCAGUGGCGAAGGCGGCUUACUGGUCCGGUUCUGACGCUGAGGCGCGAAAGCGUGGGGAGCAAACAGGAUUAGAUACCCCCGUAGUCC
rnacentral:rRNA from 2 species